rnacentral:rRNA from 1 species
UAGGGAAUAUUGGGCAAUGGACGGAAGUCUGACCCAGCCAUGCCGCGUGCAGGAAGAAGGCGCUCAGCGUUGUAAACUGCUUUUAUCGGGGAAGAACGGCAGUCCUGCGGGAUUGUGUGACGGUACUCGAGGAAUAAGCACCGGCUAACUCCGUGCCAGCAGCCGCGGUAAUACGGAGGGUGCGAGCGUUGUCCGGAUUUAUUGGGUUUAAAGGGUGCGUAGGUGGUUUAGUAAGUCUGGUUUGAAAGUCAGUCGCUUAACGAUUGAGGGUGGCUGGAUACUGCUAAACUUGAAUGCGCUGGAGGUAGGCGGAACGGGUUGUGUAGCGGUGAAAUGCAUAGAUAUGACCCAGAACACCGAUUGCGAAGGCAGCCUACUACGGCGUGAUUGACACUGAGGC